GAUGAACGCUGGCGGCGUGCCUAAUACAUGCAAGUCGAGCGAACGGACGAGAAGCUUGCUUCUCUGAUGUUAGCGGCGGACGGGUGAGUAACACGUGGAUAACCUACCUAUAAGACCGGGAUAACUUCGGGAAACCGGAGCUAAUACCGGAUAAUAUUUUGAACCGCAUGGUUCAAAAGUGAAAGACGGUCUUGCUGUCACUUAUAGAUGGAUCCGCGCUGCAUUAGCUAGUUGGUAAGGUAACGGCUUACCAAGGCAACGAUGCAUAGCCGACCUGAGAGGGUGAUCGGCCACACUGGAACUGAGACGCGGUCCAGACUCCUACGGGAGGCAGCAGUAGGGAAUCUUCCGCAAUGGGCGAAAGCCUGACGGAGCAACGCCGCGUGAGUGAUGAAGGUCUUCGGAUCGUAAAACUCUGUUAUUAGGGAAGAACAUAUGUGUAAGUAACUGUGCACAUCUUGACGGUACCUAAUCAGAAAGCCACGGCUAACUACGUGCCAGCAGCCGCGGUAAUACGUAGGUGGCAAGCGUUAUCCGGAAUUAUUGGGCGGUAAGCGCGCGUAGGCGGUUUUUUAAAUCUGAUGUGAAAGCCCACGGCUCAACCGUGGAGGGUCAUUGGAAACUGGAAAACUUGAGUGCAGAAGAGGAAAGUGGAAUUCCAUGUGUAGCGGUGAAAUGCGCAGAGAUAUGGAGGAACACCAGUGGCGAAGGCGACUUUCUGGUCUGUAACUGACGCUGAUGUGCGAAAGCGUGGGGAUCAAACAGGAUUAGAUACCCUGGUAGUCCACGCCGUAAACGAUGAGUGCUAAGUGUUAGGGGGUUUCCGCCCCUUAGUGCUGCAGCUAACGCAUUAAGCACUCCGCCUGGGGAGUACGACCGCAAGGUUGAAACUCAAAGGAAUUGACGGGGACCCGCACAAGCGGUGGAGCAUGUGGUUUAAUUCGAAGCAACGCGAAGAACCUUACCAAAUCUUGACAUCCUUUGACAACUCUAGAGAUAGAGCCUUCCCCUUCGGGGGACAAAGUGACAGGUGGUGCAUGGUUGUCGUCAGCUCGUGUCGUGAGAUGUUGGGUUAAGUCCCGCAACGAGCGCAACCCUUAAGCUUAGUUGCCAUCAUUAAGUUGGGCACUCUAAGUUGACUGCCGGUGACAAACCGGAGGAAGGUGGGGAUGACGUCAAAUCAUCAUGCCCCUUAUGAUUUGGGCUACACACGUGCUACAAUGGACAAUACAAAGGGCAGCGAAACCGCGAGGUCAAGCAAAUCCCAUAAAGUUGUUCUCAGUUCGGAUUGUAGUCUGCAACUCGACUACAUGAAGCUGGAAUCGCCAGUAAUCGUAGAUCAGCAUGCUACGGUGAAUACGUUCCCGGGUCU
rnacentral:rRNA from 1 species